rnacentral:miRNA from 1 species
CAGAACAUACAGGAAAUGUGAAUUUCACAUAAACAACAAACAACUUUUUUAUAAGUUUAUAAGUAUGCCUGUACAAUAUUUGGGAUAUACUUAUACUAAAAAAUUAUUUGUUGUUUAUCUGAAACUCAAAUUUAACUGUUCUUUCUAU